rnacentral:rRNA from 1 species
CCUACGGGAGGCAGCAGUGGGGGAUAUUGCACAAUGGGGGAAACCCUGAUGCAGCGACGCCGCGUGGGCGAAGAAGUAUUUCGGUAUGUAAAGCCCUAUCAGCAGGGAAGAAGAAAUGACGGUACCUGAGUAAGAAGCACCGGCUAAAUACGUGCCAGCAGACGCGGUAAUAGGUAUGGUGCAAGCGUUAUCCGGAUGUACUGGGUGUAAAGGGAGCGCAGGCGGCACGGCAAGCCUGAUGUGAAAGCACGAGGCUCAACUCCGGGACUGCUUUUGAAACUGUUGAACUAGGUUGCAGGAGAGGUAAGUGGAAUUCCUAGUGUAGCGGUGAAAUGCGUAGAUAUUAGGAGGAACACCAGUGGCGAAGGCGGCUUACUGGACUGUAAAUGACGCUGAGGCUCGAAAGCGUGGGGAGCAAACAGGAUUAGAUACCCGUGUAGUC